rnacentral:rRNA from 1 species
GGCGACCGGCGCACGGGUGCGUAACGCGUAUGCAACCUACCUUUAACAGGGGCAUAACACUGAGAAAUUGGUACUAAUUCCCCAUAACAUUCGAGAAGGCAUCUUCUUGGGUUAAAAACUCCGGUGGUUAAAGAUGGGCAUGCGUUGUAUUAGCUAGUUGGUGAGGUAACGGCUCACCAAGGCAACGAUACAUAGGGGGACUGAGAGGUUAACCCCCCACAUUGGUACUGAGACACGGACCAAACUCCUACGGGAGGCAGCAGUGAGGAAUAUUGGUCAAUGGACGCAAGUCUGAACCAGCCAUGCCGCGUGCAGGAAGACGGCUCUAUGAGUUGUAAACUGCUUUUGUACUAGGGUAAACGCUUCUACGUGUAGGAGCCUGAAAGUAUAGUACGAAUAAGGAUCGGCUAACUCCGUGCCAGCAGCCGCGGUAAUACGGAGGAUCCAAGCGUUAUCCGGAUUUAUUGGGUUUAAAGGGUGCGUAGGCGGUUUGAUAAGUUAGAGGUGAAAUACCGGGGCUCAACUCCGGAACUGCCUCUAAUACUGUUGAACUAGAGAGUAGUUGCGGUAGGCGGAAUGUAUGGUGUAGCGGUGAAAUGCUUAGAGAUCAUACAGAACACCGAUUGCGAAGGCAGCUUACCAAACUAUAUCUGACGUUGAGGCACGAAAGCGUGGGGAGCAAACAGGAUUAGAUACCCUGGUAGUCCACGCAGUAAACGAUGAUAACUCGUUGUCGGCGAUACACAGUCGGUGACUAAGCGAAAGCGAUAAGUUAUCCACCUGGGGAGUACGUUCGCAAGAAUGAAACUCAAAGGAAUUGACGGGGGCCCGCACAAGCGGAGGAACAUGUGGUUUAAUUCGAUGAUACGCGAGGAACCUUACCCGGGCUUGAAAGUUAGUGACGAUUCUGGAAACAGGAUUUCCCUUCGGGGCACGAAACUAGGUGCUGCAUGGUUGUCGUCAGCUCGUGCCGUGAGGUGUCGGGUUAAGUCCCAUAACGAGCGCAACCCCUACCGUUAGUUGCCAUCAGGUCAAGCUGGGCACUCUGGCGGGACUGCCGGUGUAAGCCGAGAGGAAGGUGGGGAUGACGUCAAAUCAGCACGGCCCUUACGUC